rnacentral:rRNA from 1 species
GUUAGGAAUAUUGGACAAUGGGCGAAAGCCUGAUCCAGCCAUGCCGCGUGAACGAUGAAGGCCUUCGGGUUGUAAAGUUCUUUAGCCGAUGAUUAUAAUGACUGUAGUCGGAAAAUAAGCCCCGGCUAACUUCGUGCCAGCAGCCGCGGUAAUACGAAGGGGGCGAGCGUUAUUCGGAAUCACUGGGCGUAAAGCGUGCGUAGGCGGUUUUGUAAGUUAGGAGUGGAUGCCCAGGGCUCAACCUUGGAAUUGCUCUUAAAACUGCAAGGCUCGAAUCUCGGAGAGGAUAGCGGAAUUUCCAGUGUAGCAGUGAAAUGCGUAGAUAUUGGAAGGAACACCAGUGGCGUAAGCGGCUAUCUGGACGAGUAUUGACGCUGAGGCACGAAAGCGUGGGGAUCAAACAGGAUUAGAAACCCGGGUAGUCC